CCUCCCUCAGGGGGGUGGGACCCUCUCCUGGGCACCUUCCAGGUUACGUCUGGGCCUGGCCUUGUGCUGAUGUCUCUGGUACUAACCAGACCACUGGGUAGCCCGAGGAGUGCAGGUGGCCUCCAGGCUGGGCCUGCCUGGUGUGCCUGUCUUCCACGGACUCUCUGCUCUCGUGGCAUCCACGUAGCUCUGUGCUGUGCCUGCCCAGGCGCCAUCUCCCCAGCCGGCCUUCAGCAAGCACGGCCGGAAGCCCUGCAUUUCCAUCAGGCUUGGAGGAAGGGGCAUGGCCUCAGGCAGCUCCCAGCGCAGCCCGAGUCAGAGAGUCCCUGGCUGGAGGAGAGAGGGAGCCCAGGGGCUGCUCCCCGGCCAAGGUCAGCAGCAGGAAGGCUCUGUCCCCUGCUGACCGGGUCCCCUGUCUCUCCCUUGCUGGGACAUUUCUGGCUCACGAGGGGCUCCCCUCUUGGACAAGCAAUGCCUUCAGCCUCACUGAUGGGCAGGGCUCCCGCUGCAGGCAGUGCGGCCCCAGCUUCCUGCAGGACUGCACCGCUAGUGCCAGUCGGGCUGCUGCCACCAGCGCUGACUUCUCAGCUCACUCACGUUGCUUGUGAAAUCUGGGAACAUUCUGCUCAGGUGGGUGUGGAGGUGCCUGCGGCCAUAGGGUGUGACCUGUAGGCCAACAGACCCUCCCUGAGGAGUGGAGAAGCAGAGCGUGGACCCCAGCUCUGACUCUGCCCGAGGAGAACUGCAAGGUGUCAGGAGUAGAGAGCGAGGGUAGAGAGUGAGCUGUGACACACCCAGGGAAGGAAAACAGCUCCCGGUGUUAUCUUUUGGAUCAGCUGCUGACUGUGGAGCCCUGAAAGGGAAACCGUCCUCCUUCCAUUGCCUCUCAGAGCAGACAGCGUCCUCUAGGUGCCAGGGACACCGACAGGCCUGGGUGUUGGCAUUUGAUGUCCUGCUGACCGUGGUCCGAGUAGCCUGGGCUUUGGCGGUGGUGCAGGUUGGGGCUUCAGUGAAGGUGUCCCUGGCGUUACAUGUGCCCACUGCAAGGGGCAGAGGCUGCCUUCGUGGGGGACGGACCUGUGGGCUGAGAAUAGCACCCUUGCCAGGUGACCCUAGAAGUAAGCUCAUAAUUACAAAAUGCCCCCAGUAUGGGAAAGAGUCUCCGGCCACAGUGCAAGAACACACACCGUGGAGGCAGGGACGGCUCCUCCAGGAAGGGGACGUUGAGCUCGUUCUGGGGCCAGAGCAGCCAACACUUGGAAUAUGCACCUGGAUUCAGUUGCCUAGAGGCGGGCUGAGCCAUCAUCGGAUGGAAGGUUUGGGGUGACAUAUGCCGUGCCCACUGGGGCAAGCUGUCCUGAAGGAGAUCAGAGCUUGGGAGAGUCGGCAUCUGGACCUCACACCUCACACGUAAGAAACCCAGGGAGGAGCACCGGCCCCGCUGGCCACAGGCCCAGCUCUCUGGGUAGCACCUGCCCUGCCCUGCUCUGCCUUCCCUGCAGGGCAGGUGCAGUAUGAGGGGCCUGCUACAUUCCUCCGAGCUGACCGGCUUGGGCACAUAGAGCGAGUCCUUCCCUGGGUCUGAAUGCUGCCAUGCAGUAACCCGGCGUCCCAGGGAGAGGUAGAGACCAGGGCAGGGCCAGAGUAUAGGAGGCUGGGUACCAGGACCUUGGGGUCAGGGGAAACUGAGAGUCUCUGCCACCUGGGUGAGCUAACCAGGGUCUGCUAACCAGCUGGGUGAGCUCACUAACCUUGAUUUCUGCUUGUGAAAUUGGGAUGGAGUCACCCGGGUGUUGGGUUAUUCUGAGAACAGCCCAGUGGAGCAUCUUAUCUGACUUGCGCUGUCUGGCACAGAGUGAGCUCAGUCCACAUGAACUUCCUUCUGCGUCCCUGUCCCCGUCUUCUGUCCUGCAGAGAGCUGCUGUCCUGUGGGGUCAUGGUGAGCACUGGGUGUGGUCAGAGGGGCGGGGGCGUGGACCGAGGCACCCGCGCUGGUGCCCGCCAACACACUGGCUUCCCCAAGGUCUCCGGCAGCUUUCCUUGGGGGAUGAGUGUCCCCAGACUUAGCUUUUCCCUUUUAGGCAGUUUCUUUUUCAAAUUCAGAAAUUUGCCAGAAAGAAGAGCGGCAUCCCUUGGACUCUUUGGACACAGAUAGAAGUGUUCUCAGGCCAAGGAUCGGUGAACCCCACUGUUGGAAUUAAGACCAAGAAAAAGAAAAAUGCUGAAUGUGCAUCCAGAGUGGCCCAAGGUCUGCUGCCUUGCCCAGGCAGGAGAAUAGCUGGAAAAAUGAUGGGACAUCAGUUCUGUGGAAUAUUCACCCAUUCUGUAGCUUCCAACGGGAAUGAGCUAGAUCUAGAAUACAGCAGCCAGGUGCCACUGUAGGAGCAGAGAGUGGCCCUACCAGACACGGAACGCACGGAGGCCUUGAUCUUGGACCUCGCAGCCUCCAGAUCUGUGAGAGAUGCAUUUCUGCUGUGUAUGCGGCACCCAGUCUACGAAAUGGCUCUCGGCUUGGUGCCACUGUCCCAAGUUACAGGCAGUAUCAAGAUACUGGAAAGAAGAAGGUCUCUGACGUGUUGACCAGGCAAACCUCAAACUGCAAACUGAUGGAAAAUGCAGCUACUGAGAGUGUCCUACGGAGGGGAUCCUUGUCCCAUGUGCCAGAUCUCAGAAACAAUGUUGCUUUGUCGACUAGGACCCUACUGCUCUCCUAAGCUAACCUGAAGGACCAACCGUCCAGCCAGGGGAGGGAGGAGGAGCCUGGCCAGGAGCACAUGCCCUCUACCAUGCUCCUGGGCCUCCACGUGGUGUCCUUGCCCACACGUCCCUGUGUCUGCUCAGCUGGGAAGCGAGCCACAGGCUGAGCCGGGGCAGGAGGGGCUGCCUUCAGCUCUCCCGUCAGCGGCUGUGCGGCUGCUGGGCUGUGAUGCCAAGUGAGACUCGGGGCGUGACGUGGCCUGCGACAGGCGUGCAGGCCAUGUGAAGGGGCCCGAAGCCAGCUGCCUUUCCCCACACGUAUGAAUUUUAACAUCUUUAUACAUUUGGGGUGCUCUUGCCCCUAACUGGGUGAAUGAGAAUUUCCUGGAAGGGAGGGCUAUUCCCAGCAGGGCCGGGCUCCUCCUCCCACUGUGCUCCUCCCCCCCCCCUUUGAAACAGCAGGGUGUCAAACCAGGGAGCUCACAGCCCAGGGCUGGGGCAGCCCAGUGGCAGUGUGCCUGAACGGAGGGGACGAGGGCUGCUUUCUCUGAGCGGCUGUGGGCACCCUCCCCCUUGGCCAGCUCCAGGGGCAUAGCUGAUGGCUCCACCUCUCAGCCAGGGACCCUGGGUCACCACCCUCCUGAGGAGGCUGGGACAGAGUUCAUGUGCCAGAAUCUCCAAGUGCACCUGAGAGGCUGCUGGGCUGGGCAGCCUGUGACUGGGGCUUCCAGAACCCUCUGAAAAUGUCUCGUUGGCCUGGCACAGAGGAGUCGGAAUGAGAACAGGGAGGUGCUGGCUAGCAGCAAGUGACCACUCACAGACCUGCACUGGUGCCUGAUUGGACAUGCAGCCCUUGGACACUCUGGACUCCUCACUUGCUCAGGAUAUGACUUCUGGUUUGUACCUGGUAGAGGUGGCAUUUGCUUCAAGGUCUUUGAGAGUCCAAGCUUGGAAACCCCACAGCAUGCAGGUCUCCAAGGCCCAGCUGAGUGGGGCUUUGCGAGCAAACUCCUCUGUCCCCCUAAUUCGUGGCUGACAUCCAGGUCUGCAUGUGCUUAUUAGCAGCUCGUAGAAAGGGAAAUCAUUCUGUUUUACAAGGAAAUGGAAUGUUUUCUGCUAGAAGCCUUUCGGAAUUGCAAGCAGAACACCGGCAAACCUUGAGAGAAUUCCAACCAUGUUGAUCCCAUGCAAAGUUUGUUUAAAGAUUUGUGUAAACCUCUAU